rnacentral:rRNA from 1 species
UUAACCUGGCCUUGACAUACUAAGAACUUUCCAGAGAUGGAUUGGUGCCUUCGGGAACUUAGAUACAGGUGCUGCAUGGCUGUCGUCAGCUCGUGUCGUGAGAUGUUGGGUUAAGUCCCGCAACGAGCGCAACCCUUUUCCUUAUUGCCAGCGGGUAAUGCCGGGAACUUUAAGGAUACUGCCAGUGACAAACUGGAGGAAGGCGGGGACGACGUCAAGUCAUCAUGGCCCUUACGGCCAGGGCUACACACGUGCUACAAUGGUCGGUACAAAGGGUUGCUACCUCGCGAGAGGAUGCUAAUCUCAAAAAGCCGAUCGUAGUCCGGAUCGCAGUCUGCAACUCGACUGCGUGAAGUCGGAAUCGCUAGUAAUCGCGGAUCAGAAUGCCGCGGUGAAUACGUUCCCGGGCCUUGUACACACCGCCCGUCACACCAUGGGAGUUUGUUGCACCAGAAGUAGGUAGUCUAACCGCAAGGAGGACGCUUACCACGGUGUGGCCGAUGACUGGGGUGAAGUCGUAACAAGGUAGGCGUACUACA